CCCCCGAGUUUCUCCGGGGCGGCGGGAAGGGGGCAAGGACUGACUCGCGGAGACCCCUUCCUGCGCUCCGUCCUUGCGGACUGUCUCCCCUCCCCCGCCCCAUUCGGAACGGCAGUGUCCCCUGGGUGUCGUGGCUCGAAGGGGCAAGCCGGCCCUCCCGGGGCCAAGGGCCCUGUUGUCCCUUCUGUAGUCUCAGGGCAGGGACCUCUCCAACCACACGCUGCGUCUUGGAGGGAGCUGCCUGCGGCCCUGGGGAGGACCUCUCCACCACCGCUUUUCCUCAACCGUCUCCAACUCCUCUGUUGGAGGCAAGAUUGUCAACAAGUCGGUCGCGAAGUAGCCUGCCACGUUUCGUUCAAACCCGCUGCCCCCGGCCUCCCAGACCGCACCGCAGGAACUGCAGACAAUUGGUACCACAAGUGACCCCAGAAAGCCGAUCUUCAGGAUGGAAUGUUGGAGCCGGACUGCGAUCUGUCUGGAAGCAAUACGAGCCCCAUUACGGAUGCUUCCAGCUUGGCCUCUUGGAUAUCUUACUCUGGAGGAAGCCAACUGCCACGCCAGGAGAGCAACACUCAAGCAGCUUCACGGAGAAGAAACCAAGACUCUUGGCCAACAGCCAGUGCCAACGUGCCAGCCACAUGACUGAUCCACUUUAGAAGAGGAUCCUCCAGCCCCCAUCAAGCCUUCACAUGGCAGCUGCCACCGACAUCUGACUGCACCUAUCAGGGGAUCCAAGCAAGAACUGCAGCUGA